rnacentral:rRNA from 1 species
AUGAACGCUGGCGGCGUGCCUAGUACAUGCAAGUCGCGCGAACGGACGAGAAGCUUGCUUCUCUGAUGUUAGCGGCGGACGGGUGAGUAACACGUGGAUAACCUACCUAUAAGACUGGGAUAAUUUCGGGAAACCGGAGCUAAUACCGGAUAAUAUUUUGAACCGCAUGGUUCAAAAGUGAAAGACGGUCUUGCUGUCACUUAUAGAUGGAUCCGCGCUGCAUUAGCUAGUUGGUAAGGUAACGGCUUACCAAGGCAACGAUGCAUAGCCGACCUGAGAGGGUGAUCGGCCACACUGGAACUGAGACACGGUCCAGACUCCUACGGGAGGCAGCAGUAGGGAAUCUUCCGCAAUGGGCGAAAGCCUGACGGAGCAACGCCGCGUGAGUGAUGAAGGUCUUCGGAUCGUAAAACUCUGUUAUUAGGGAAGAACAUAUGUGUAAGUAACUGUGCACAUCUUGACGGUACCUAAUCAGAAAGCCACGGCUAACUACGUG